rnacentral:rRNA from 1 species
CCUACGGGCGGCAGCAGUGAGGAAUAUUGGUCAAUGGACGAGAGUCUGAACCAGCCAAGUAGCGUGAAGGAUGACUGCCCUAUGGGUUGUAAACUUCUUUUAUAUGGGAAUAAAAUGUUCCACGUGUGGGAUUUUGUAUGUACCAUAUGAAUAAGGAUCGGCUAACUCCGUGCCAGCAGCCGCGGUAAUACGGAGGAUCCGAGCGUUAUCCGGAUUUAUUGGGUUUAAAGGGAGCGUAGGUGGAUUGUUAAGUCAGUUGUGAAAGUUUGCGGCUCAACCGUAAAAUUGCAGUUGAAACUGGCAGUCUUGAGUACAGUAGAGGUGGGUGGAAUUCGUGGUGUAGCGGUGAAAUGCUUAGAUAUCAUGAAGAACUCCGAUUGCGAAGGCAGUUCACUGGACUGCAACUGACACUGAGGCUCGAAAGUGUGGGUAUCAAACAGGAUUAGAUACCCCUGUAGUC